rnacentral:rRNA from 1 species
AAAUUGAAGAGUUUGAUCAUGGCUCAGAUUGAACGCUGGCGGCAGGCCUAACACAUGCAAGUCGAGCGGUAGCACAGAGAGCUUGCUCUCGGGUGACGAGCGGCGGACGGGUGAGUAAUGUCUGGGAAACUGCCUGAUGGAGGGGGAUAACUACUGGAAACGGUAGCUAAUACCGCAUAAUGUCGCAAGACCAAAGUGGGGGACCUUCGGGCCUCAUGCCAUCAGAUGUGCCCAGAUGGGAUUAGCUAGUAGGUGGGGUAACGGCUCACCUAGGCGACGAUCCCUAGCUGGUCUGAGAGGAUGACCAGCCACACUGGAACUGAGACACGGUCCAGACUCCUACGGGAGGCAGCAGUGGGGAAUAUUGCACAAUGGGCGCAAGCCUGAUGCAGCCAUGCCGCGUGUGUGAAGAAGGCCUUCGGGUUGUAAAGCACUUUCAGCGGGGAGGAAGGCGUUAAGGUUAAUAACCUUGGCGAUUGACGUUACCCGCAGAAGAAGCACCGGCUAACUCCGUGCCAGCAGCCGCGGUAAUACGGAGGGUGCAAGCGUUAAUCGGAAUUACUGGGCGUAAAGCGCACGCAGGCGGUCUGUCAAGUCGGAUGUGAAAUCCCCGGGCUCAACCUGGGAACUGCAUUCGAAACUGGCAGGCUAGAGUCUUGUAGAGGGGGUAGAAUUCCAGGUGUAGCGGUGAAAUGCGUAGAGAUCUGGAGGAAUACCGGUGGCGAAGGCGGCCCCUGGACAAAGACUGACGCUCAGGUGCGAAAGCGUGGGGAGCAAACAGGAUUAGAUACCCUGGUAGUCCACGCCGUAAACGAUGUCGAUUUGGAGGUUGUGCCCUUGAGGCGUGGCUUCCGGAGCUAACGCGUUAAAUCGACCGCCUGGGGAGUACGGCCGCAAGGUUAAAACUCAAAUGAAUUGACGGGGGCCCGCACAAGCGGUGGAGCAUGUGGUUUAAUUCGAUGCAACGCGAAGAACCUUACCUGGUCUUGACAUCCACAGAACUUAGCAGAGAUGCUUUGGUGCCUUCGGGAACUGUGAGACAGGUGCUGCAUGGCUGUCGUCAGCUCGUGUUGUGAAAUGUUGGGUUAAGUCCCGCAACGAGCGCAACCCUUAUCCUUUGUUGCCAGCGGUCCGGCCGGGAACUCAAAGGAGACUGCCAGUGAUAAACUGGAGGAAGGUGGGGAUGACGUCAAGUCAUCAUGGCCCUUACGACCAGGGCUACACACGUGCUACAAUGGCAUAUACAAAGAGAAGCGACCUCGCGAGAGCAAGCGGACCUCAUAAAGUAUGUCGUAGUCCGGAUUGGAGUCUGCAACUCGACUCCAUGAAGUCGGAAUCGCUAGUAAUCGUAGAUCAGAAUGCUACGGUGAAUACGUUCCCGGGCCUUGUACACACCGCCCGUCACACCAUGGGAGUGGGUUGCAAAAGAAGUAGGUAGCUUAACCUUCGGGAGGGCGCUUACCACUUUGUGAUUCAUGACUGGGGUGAAGUCGUAACAAGGUAACCGUAGGGGAACCUGCGGUUGGAUCACCUCCUUACCUUAAAGAA